AGAGUUUGAUCAUGGCUCANNACGAACGCUGGCGGCGUGCUUAACACAUGCAAGUCGCGUGCGCAGUCUGUAGCAAUACAGACCGGCGCACGGCGCACGGGUGCGUAACACGUGGGCAAUCUGCCCUCUGAUGGGGAAUAACCCCGCGAAAGCGGGGCUAAUACCGCAUAAAAUUCCGAGAACUUCGGUUUUUGGAUUCAAAGCAGUAAUGCGUCAGAGGAGGAGCCCGCGCCCGAUUAGCUAGUUGGUGAGGUAAUGGCUCACCAAGGCAAUGAUCGGUAGCUGGUCUGAGAGGAUGAUCAGCCGCAUUGGGACUGAGACACGGCCCAAACUCCUACGGGAGGCAGCAGUGGGGAAUAUUGGACAAUGGGCGCAAGCCUGAUCCAGCCAUGCCGCGUGAGUGAAGACGGCCUGCGGGUUGUAAAGCCCUUUUGGCGGGGAAGAAAGCCCUGGGUUGAACAGACUCAGGGGGUGACGUUACCCGCUGAAGAAGCACCGGCCAACUCCGUGCCAGCAGCCGCGGUAAUACGGAGGGUGCGAGCGUUAAUCGGAAUUACUGGGCGUAAAGCGCGCGUAGGCGGUUGGUCAAGUCAGUGGUGAAAGCCCCGGGCUCAACCUGGGAAUGGCAAUUGAGACUGACCGACUGGAGUGUAAAAGANNACCGUGGAAUNNNNNGUGUAGCGGUGAAAUGCGU
rnacentral:rRNA from 1 species